AAUAAAAUAAAUAAAUUUUUAUUUAAUCCAGUUAAUGUGAUACUUUUAGAAAUGUAAUCGAGGUUUUGAAUUUUCCAAAAAUCGUGUACUGAUGGUGGCAUGGUAUUUAGCUAGAAAUAAAACUCAACACCCUUAACCCAAAUAAUAAUCCCCAAACCUAAAUCCAUUUAACCUACCUACCCCAUACCCAAGUACCAACCCAAAUGAAUAAAACAGCCACACAAUAAACCCAAUACCCAACACCCAAAAUAAAUCCAAUACCCAACACCCCACAAGCCCAACAAAAAAGAAAAGAGAAAAAUGAAGAGAAUUGGGCCAAAUGGCCAAAACAGGCCCAAAACAAAAAAAGAAAAAGGGAAGGAAAUUGGGCCAAACGACUAGCAUUCGCCCAAUAAGAAAAAGAAGAAAAAAAAGGGGGAAAAAGGCCCAAUCGGAAAAACAAAAAAAAAGAAAAAGAAAAACACCUAAUGCCCUAAACACCUAUCCUUCUUAUUCCUCACCCUUCUUCUUCUCUUCUAAAAAAACCCUAACUUUUUAAACACCACACUUUCGAU
rnacentral:lncRNA from 1 species